GCUGGGUGUGGUGGUGCAUGCCUGUAGUCCCAGCUACUCAGAAGGCUGAGGUAGGGGGAUUGCUUGAGCCCAGGAGGUUGAGGCUGCUGUGAGCUAUGAUCAUACCACUGCAUUCCAGCCUGGGCAACACAGCAAGACUCUGUCUCAA
rnacentral:SRP_RNA from 1 species